GGUGUAGACCUCACAGUGAAAUGCUGACUGACCAGCCCUUAACCAACAGGUGUAGACCUCACAGUGAAAUGCUGACUGACCAGCCCUUAACCAACAGGUGUAGACCUCACAGUGAAAUGCUGACUGACCAGCCCUUAACCAACAGGUGUAGACCUCACAGUGAAAUGCUGACUGACCAGCCCUUAACCACCAGGUGUAGACCUCACAGUGAAAUGCUGACUGACCAGCCCUUAACCAACAGGUGUAGA